CUCGUUGAUGAUCGGUGCUUGCACCGAGAUUCAACAUGGAACGAGUGGCGGACGGGUGAGUAACACGUGGGUAACCUGCCCUUAAGUGGGGGAUAACAUUUGGAAACAGAUGCUAAUACCGCAUAGAUCCAAGAACCGCAUGGUUCUUGGCUGAAAGAUGGCGUAAGCUAUCGCUUUUGGAUGGACCCGCGGCGUAUUAGCUAGUUGGUGAGGUAAUGGCUCACCAAGGCGAUGAUACGUAGCCGAACUGAGAGGUUGAUCGGCCACAUUGGGACUGAGACACGGCCCAAACUCCUACGGGAGGCAGCAGUAGGGAAUCUUCCACAAUGGACGCAAGUCUGAUGGAGCAACGCCGCGUGAGUGAAGAAGGCUUUCGGGUCGUAAAACUCUGUUGUUGGAGAAGAAUGGUCGGCAGAGUAACUGUUGUCGGCGUGACGGUAUCCAACCAGAAAGCCACGGCUAACUACGUGCCAGCAGCCGCGGUAAUACGUAGGUGGCAAGCGUUAUCCGGAUUUAUUGGGCGUAAAGCGAGCGCA
rnacentral:rRNA from 2 species